rnacentral:rRNA from 1 species
UACGUAGGGGGCAAGCGUUGUCCGGAAUCAUUGGGCGUAAAGAGCGCGUAGGCGGUCCGGUAAGUCGGUUGUGAAAACUGGGGGCUCAACCCUCAGAGGCCGACCGAUACUGUCGGGCUAGAGUCCGGAAGAGGCGAGUGGAAUUCCUGGUGUAGCGGUGAAAUGCGCAGAUAUCAGGAGGAACACCGGUGGCGAAGGCGAAUCUCUGGGCCUUACCUGACGCUCAGGUGCGAAAGCUAGGGGAGCGAACAGG